GGGGAUGUAGCUCAGUGGUAUAGAGAGCGCUCGCUUUGCAUGUGAUCGGAUCCGGGUCCAUCCCCGGCAUCUCCA
rnacentral:tRNA from 1 species